rnacentral:tRNA from 1 species
CAAGAUAUAGCUUAAAUAAAGCACCUAGNUUACACCUAGAAGAUUNCACUACANCACGAAUAUCUUGA